AAAGAAAACAAUAGCAUAAGUGUUGAAACAUGCUUUAACAAUUUGAGCUUGCUACAGCAACAAAGUCUAACCUAUUCUGGUGCUCUCCUCUAUGAGACAAGCCGUUAUAUAGACUUAGACAGU
ensembl:snoRNA small nucleolar RNA SNORA28